CGCCGUUCCAUUACUCUCCUCCGUCUCGAAUCUCGACCCAGCAUCGAUCCAAACCCCAACCGUAGCAGUCAUUGCACUAAGGCUAGACUCCGUGGCGACACGUAGUCCGUUAGGGAGAGUUGUGAUGCGAGUUUCAGGAGCGGCGAGGAUUCGUGUGUGGUCACGGAUUUCGGGUUUAGGUGAACCGAAUUUGAGGAAACGUGGAUCUGGAUUUUCUAAGCGUUGGAGUUUUUGUUUGACGGAUUCGGCUAAGCGAUCGUAGAUCAUGACGUUGGGAGGUGGAGGGGAGGGUGGUGGUGAAGGGGGUGAGCGGGUGACAGGGGCGGCGGAGGAGGUGGAGAGAGUGGCGGAUCGGAUUGAGGUGAGGAUGGGUGUCCGCCGGGUUGAACGGCGGACUAGGGUGAGGAGUUUGUUGAUCGUCAUGGUGGAGAGGGCUGCCCGUGUGUGGCUAGGGUUUGGUUUGGUGAAUGAAUGAGCUGAG
rnacentral:lncRNA from 1 species